UUUGCGUGUAAGAGGACAAGUAGCAGUUCCCCAAUCCCCACCCCACCCCCCUUAUUUGGGGUCUUUUAUUUCUCCUUUUUUAUGACGUCUCUCCCUCUUCCCUAUUUUAUGAAUACUCUUUUGCCCGUCAAGCCAUGUCUGCGAAAUCCACAACUGCAAUCCAAGGAGGCCAAGUAAGAACCCUAAUCCAUCUCUUCCAUUUUCUUUUCAUCCUGUUUCUGAUCCGGUCUGAACUUUCUUGCCUUUUUGGCUCUAAAAAAUAAAAAUGAAUUUGAAAUGAAUAUUUUAUCAGGUUGAUCUAUUGGAGCAGUGUAGAAUGUCUCAAUCAAAACACUAGUAUUCCUUCGUUAAUGCUCUUAAACAGGUGACUUAUGGAGGGUUUGUAUCUAGAUUCUGGAGAGUAAUGCGGAUGAACAUGUCCUGAUUUAUAUUCCCUUCUCCUAGGCCAUUAAGGGACCGUUUCAUAACACUUUGGGAUAAUGUUUCUGGUGUUCUUCUAUUAUGUGGACUGUAAAUAGAACAGAAAUAUGUUUGACACGUCCGGUUCAUUUUUGUAUUCCUUCAGAACGAACAAAUGAAAAAGAAUGACUAAAUAAUACAGUGCAAGAGUAAAAAAAAACGUUCCUUCUCUAUUCUUUUACAAACUUAAAAGAACAAAACCAUUCAAAACCCCACAACCACUUUUCUGCAACUCACGAUCAAAAACCCUCAAAUCCGUCGCUUCCCUGCAACAGGUUGUCAUUCUCUCGGUCGCCGCUUCCCUGCAACGGUCGCUCUCUCACGGUCGCCGCUUCGCUGCAACAGUAUCUCCUCUCGGUCGCUUCCCUGUCUCUCUCGGUCGCCGCUUCCCUGCCUCUCUCGGUCGCCGCCGCUUCCCUGCAACUCUCUCGGUCGCCGCUGCUUCCCUGCAACUCUCUCGGUCGCCGUUUCCCUGCAGCAGAGGCAUCAGAGAUGGUAGCAUCUCUACCAUGCCUCUCAUCUAUGCAGACAGACAAAGCUCUAUCUCUAAAUUAACAGGUUUUGAAACUCGGGAGAACAAGACAAAGCCUGUUGUUCAUGGAGAACAAGAAGAUAGUGAUAUUGCUAGUAUUUCUACUACAAUUCAUCAGGGCAGUCAACGUGUACAAGGAAGACAGAUGAAUGAGCUAAGGAUACAAAUUGCAAAUCAUAUGGCAGUAGAUAAGGGUUACCUCUGAUUUGAUUGCUUAUGUAAUAAAAUUUUAAGACACUUCAGCUAUGAUUUUUAUUUUGUAAUUCCUAUAAACUUGAAUAGUAAACUUUUGUUUUCUUAUUAAGAUAAAUGUGGAAACUCUUUAUGCUUA